CUUCCACAACUGGGCGCAAGCCUGAUGGAGCAACACCGCGUGAGUGAAGAAGGGUUUCGGCUCGUAAAGCUCUGUUGUUUAAAGAAGAACACGUAUGAGAGUAACUGUUCAUACGUUGACGGUAUUUAACCAGAAAGUCACGGCUAACUACGUGCCAGCAGCCGCGGUAAUACGUAGGUGGCAAGCGUUAUCCGGAUUUAUUGGGCGUAAAGAGAGUGCAGGCGGUUUUCUAAGUCUGAUGUGAAAGCCUUCGGCUUAACCGGAGAAGUGCAUCGGAAACUGGAUAACUUGAGUGCAGAAGAGGGUAGUGGAACUCCAUGUGUAGCGGUGGAAUGCGUAGAUAUAUGGAAGAACACCAGUGGCGAAGGCGGCUACCUGGUCUGCAACUGACGCUGAGACUCGAAAGCAUGGGUAGCGAACAGGAUUAGAUACCCUGGUAG
rnacentral:rRNA from 1 species